CCUACGGGAGGCAGCAGUAGGGAAUCUUCCACAAUGGGCGAAAGCCUGAUGGAGCAACGCCGCGUGGGUGAAGAAGGUCUUCGGAUCGUAAAACUCUGUUUUUAGAGAAGAAAGUGUGUGAGAGUAACUGUUCACGUCUUGACGGUAUCUAAUCAGAAAGCCACGGCUAACUACGUGCCAGCAGCCGCGGUCAUACGUAGGUGGCAAGCGUUAUCCGGAUUUAUUGGGCGUAAAGGGCACGCAGGCGGUCUUUUCAGUCUGUAGUGAAAGCCUUCGGCGUAACCGUGGUAGGGCAUUGGAAACUGGCAGACUUGAGUGCAGAAGAGGAGAGUGGAAUUCCAGGUGUAGCGGUGAAAUGCGUAGAUAGAUGGAAGAACACCAGUGGCGAAGGCGGCUUUCUGGUCUGUAACUGACGCUGAGGUGCGAAAGCGUGGGUAGCAAACAGGAUUAGAUACCCCUGUAGUC
rnacentral:rRNA from 1 species